UACGUAGGGGCCUAGCGUUGUCCGGAUUUAUUGGGCGUAAAGAGCUCGUAGGCGGUUCGGCAAGUCGGAUGUGAAAUCUCCACGCUCAACGUGGAGGGGCCAUUCGAAACUGCCGUGACUCGAGUCCGGUAGGGGAGUGUGGAAUUCCCGGUGUAGCGGUGAAAUGCGCAGAUAUCGGGAGGAACACCAGUAGCGAAGGCGGCUUUCUGGGACGGUACUGACGCUGAGACGCGAAAGCGUGGGGAGCGAACAGG
rnacentral:rRNA from 1 species